rnacentral:rRNA from 1 species
CCGGCACGGGUGAGUAACACGUAUCCAACCUGCCGUCUACUCUUGGACAGCCUUCUGAAAGGAAGAUUAAUACAAGAUGGCAUCAUGAGUUCACAUGUUCACAUGAUUAAGGGUAUUCCGGUAGACGAUGGGGAUGCGUUCCAUUAGAUAGUAGGCGGGGUAACGGCCCACCUAGUCUUCGAUGGAUAGGGGUUCUGAGAGGAAGGUCCCCCACAUUGGAACUGAGACACGGUCCAA